rnacentral:rRNA from 1 species
CGUACACUCCUGCGGGAGGCAGCAGUGGGGAAUUUUGGACAAUGGGCGAAAGCCUGAUCCAGCCAUGCCGCGUGCAGGAUGAAGGCCUUCGGGUUGUAAACUGCUUUUGUACGGAACGAAACGGCCUUUUCUAAUAAAGAGGGCUAAUGACGGUACCGUAAGAAUAAGCACCGGCUAACUACGUGCCAGCAGCCGCGGUAAUACGUAGGGUGCAAGCGUUAAUCGGAAUUACUGGGCGUAAAGCGUGCGCAGGCGGUUAUGUAAGACAGUUGUGAAAUCCCCGGGCUCAACCUGGGAACUGCAUCUGUGACUGCAUAGCUAGAGUACGGUAGAGGGGGAUGGAAUUCCGCGUGUAGCAGUGAAAUGCGUAGAUAUGCGGAGGAACACCGAUGGCGAAGGCAAUCCCCUGGACCUGUACUGACGCUCAUGCACGAAAGCGUGGGGAGCAAACAGGAUUAGAUACCCCAGUAGGCCCAUGAU